rnacentral:lncRNA from 1 species
UCUUCAAAAUUUUCUUCUACAAGCCAUUUCUCUAGUUCUUCUAAUUUAUUUCCUACCCUUGUAACCCAAAUAAAUGGUUUCUUAGAUGCUUCCAGGCCUAAACCAAGCUCAAUCAGUUGUGAAGAUGUUAGAUUGCAAAUACUUCCCAGACAAACAUACACUACCGAGCUUGGUUGUUGCGAAUCAAGCCAUGUUAAGCAUUCGGGAAUAUCAAUUGCUGCUUUGUUACCUCUCUCCACCUUGUCUAAGCUUUCUUUGUUGCACAGAGAAACAGGGCCGAUGCACCAAACUUUUCCUUGUUUGGCGUUCUUGUAUUCUUUUACGGAUGCUGACUCAAGCUCUUCGAAGGUAUUUAUAAUGACCCCGUAUGUUUUCUUGUCAGCUGCCAAAAUUUUUUCAUCGAACUCUUUCAAUUCAUCAGUCGGGGGGGAUAUUGGUAACUGAACUUUAGUAAAUUCAAUGUGAUGAGGGAAGCCAGGUACCUUAAAGUAUUCUGAAUCAGAUGAAACAUUCUCGUGAACCUUUGAAACACGCAAGAUGUCCAAGCAUAAGAGACAGAAGCAAGAAAAUCCAUGGAAAAUAAUCCUUGGAACAUUGAAUUUGGCAGCAGUAUCCACCGUCCAAGGCAUGCACAUGUCAGAAAUUAUGCAGCAGGGCUGAGGAGUCUGCUCUCUGAACAAAUUUUCAAAAGGCAAUUGAAGCUUUUGAAGUGACGCCAAGAAGUUGUAGGCCAAGUCUAUUGAAGGAAGCAUGUCGAAAUUCUCGCAACCUUCAGGUAAUCCUGCCUCUUGCCAUGGAAAUUGUAUUUCAAUGAGUCGGAUUUGUAGUCUGCAUUGUAGGGCACGAGCAAGCACUGUUUUGAACCUUGCUGCAUUAACUGGGGUUGUGACAAUUGUCGCAGUAGCUCCAUGCUGUGCAAGCAAUCUAGCAAUGUCAAACAUGGGAAUCAAAUGGCCUUGAGCUAAGAAAGGAAGCAAGAUAAAAUGAAAGUUGCUGGUUUCGGACGCCAUGGCUGAAUCAGGAUAGACGAGGUAAUCUCUUCUUUUCAUUUAUGCGAAGGAGUGGCAGCAACUUGAUUGUGAUGUCGGAGGCUGCGUAAGCAUUUUGGCUUAUUCGGCCAUAAAGGUGUGGUUAAUGUUCUUACACAUUCACUUAUCAUUCAAUCUUUGUUUGUUUCUUCAAAGUCUUCACUCUAUGGUUAAGUUCUGGAGAGAACUAGUCUAGCUUCUGAAAGGAAUGUAGAAAGGGAAUAUAAGGUAUAUAAGAGAACCAAAAUUUGCUUAAUCGCAUUGCUUAGUUGGUUACUACUUUUAUUUUUUUAAAGUUAAAAAGAAAUUCUAAGCUAAAAUAUUUGUGAAUUUAUUUGUCAAUCUUCCACUUUAUUUCUAUUGGCACAUAAGUUUUGAAUUCUGCAUUGAGUUCUAAGUUUUGAAUUUUCUAUUCUGUACUUGAGUUCUGAAUUCAAAAUUUUCUGUUCUAAGUUUCGAAAUUCCAAUGAUCGAUUGAAUUCAGAAUUCCAAUAGUCAGUUACAUUUUUCUAUAAAUAGAAGCUAUCAAUGUGAACAUUUUUAAUUCAUCCAGGGUAUAUUGAAUGAUAAUGAAAGUUUUCUCUUUCCCUAUUUCUUUUUAUUUUUUCUUUGAAUAUUAGAAUACUUCUACAUAGGCAUAACACGUUAUGAGCAUGAUAUGGCUCUGGUACAUGGAGUAGUUUAUCCCUUUACUCUUUUAUUUCAUUUGUAUAUUUAAUACAACUAUCCUUUGUGGUUGUCAUUAAUUUGAAUCUUCCACAUUCGGAAAUAAGGUUUAGAUUUUGUUUAUUUUCUACUAGUGCUCUACAGCGAAGACUUAAAUCAAGAAUCUGAAGAAAUCAAUUAAAGAUUGAAGUUUUUAACUUCAAAAUUUAGAGAUCUUUCAAUACAUCAGAAGAUUUUGAAUAUUAAUUGAAGAGAUUCAUCUUAAUGCUAUAGACCUCGCAACAUAAUCAAGCUUGCUAACAACACUUCCGCUCAAGAGCGCACCAAAGCCAUGAUCUUCCUUCGUCAUCUUCUUCAUCAAUCCUUUAAAAACAGGUCGUCAAAGAUCUACAAGAGAGAUUUGCCACUUAAAGUCAUUAAUUAUUCUUCUUCAUUUUAGUGGUGAAACCUUCGACUACGAGAGCAUCAAAAAAUAUAAUUCUGCAUUAUUCAGAACCAACCCACAAUUAAUAUUGGGUGGAUGGAAGACCAUUUAAUAUGUUUUAUAAACUUUUAUAUUUAGAUCUAUUUUGCUUUUAUAUAUUAGGAUGUUAUCUCACAUACUUUUCUCUUGAAAGGAUAUAAAUGUGUUUAGCUAACAGUACAACUAUAUAUUAUUAUUUGUAAUGAGGAAUAUUUGUGAGUUUAAUAUUAAGUGAAGUUAAGGUGAAUACUAUCUCUUGUAGAUCUGAGUAAGGGCCUUGGAAGAGUCAUGUUCAUAUUAACAAAUGGUACAUACUUAUGUAUUUGUGAUGCUCUGUAGUCACAUAAAUCUAGAAGAAAUCUUUUGACCUUCAAAAAAGUUCGUUAACUAAAUUUCCUAUAGAGACAGUAUAUGAGAAUAAUUCGAAACUUCUAGUGUCUCUGACCAGAAACGUACAUUUAAGAACCUUUUAACUCUCUCAGUUGGUUUGUAUUAUACAGAAUUAAAAGCUACUAAAAACUAUGUAGUAAUGAACUAGAAACUUUGUGAUCCAGCAUGAUCCUCUCAGUCACCCUGGAUUAAUUAUAAUGCAUAGAAUUGUUGAAAAUUCUAAUGGACGCCCCUUAAAGAAUUUGAAGAUUCUUUUAUCUUGUGAAAAUAGUUGCAGUACUUGUUCCCAAGGUAAGUUAGUAAUCGAACCAUCUCUUUUAAAAGAUAGUCUUGAAUCUCCAUUAUUUUUAUAAAUAAUUUAAGGAGGUAUAUGUGAACUUAUUCACCCACUUAGUGGUUGAUGCAUUUAUAUGAUGGUCAUAUGUUUAUUUAUUAUCUACACAUGAUGUUGCAUUUCUUAGAUAGCUUGCAUAAGAUAUUAGGUCAAGUGCACAUGCACAUUUUCUAGGCUAUCCAAUCAAGACUAUAAGACUAGACAAUGAGUAUGAAUUCACUUCUAAAAUUUUUUAUGAUUAUUACAUGUCAUUUGAGAUUGAUACAGAACACCUAGUACCACAUAUGCGUACUAAAAGUGGAUUAGUAGAAUCCUUUAUCAAAUGCCUAUGAGUAAUUGUAAGAAUAUUAUUGUUAUAUAUUCAAUUACCUACUUCUAAAUAAGGACACACUAAUUGCACAAUGUGGCAUUGACUUGCUUGAGGCCUGACAUCUAUCACCAGUAUUUCUCAUUACAAUUGAUACUAGAGCAUCAACCUAAUAUAUUACAUCUACACACUUUGGUCACACUGUACAAGUGACUGUUGCACCUCCCUAGCAUACUUAAAACGAGACCCCAAUGACAUUUAGGGGUUUAUGUGAGAUUUGACUCACCAUCUAUAAUCAUCAUAUAUACCAGCUACAAAUGAACUUGGCCGAGUAAGUUUUCCUACUAAGCAUUCUAAUAAAAGGUAGCUGGUGAAUCCUCUAUGACAAGCUUGAAGUGUGGUAGACCACUUAGUUCAAAAGAUAGUACUGCAUAUAAAUAAAAAAUGGUGAAAAAUCAAGAUCAUACUAUUGUUAAUGAUCAAGCUAUAAUUGAAAGUGUUCUUUUAGAGGAAAAGUUCUUUGAUCAGACCUGUGUCCUUAUAGUAACACUUCCUUUUAAAGAGGCAAAUACCUAAUAUAUGGACUAAGCCCUUGAUGCCCUUGAUGAGGCUCAAAAUGAAAAAAAUCUAUAAGCGUUGCUCACACACAGAAAGUGUAGAAUUAUAAAGAAAAAAAUUAUCAACAAUGUUUUUGCGUUCACAGUGGCCGUAACUUAUUAAAUGAUGAUAUUGAACCACAAUCCAUCAAUAAAUUCAUACUAAUGCAUGAUUGGCCCAAAUGUGAAGAAACAAUCCACGUAGAAUUGGUUUCUUUAGCCAAAUGCUAUGUUUUUAGACCUAUAGUAAAAAAACUUAUUGGUAUUAAACUAGUUGGAUAUAAAUGCAUAUUUUUUCGAAAAUGUAACAAAAAGAACGAGGUCAUUAGAUAUAAGUACAAUUUGUUGCACAAGGUUUCUCAAAGAUACUUGGUAUUAAUUAUAAAUGAGACAUAUUCAUCAGUAAUGUAUGCAAUUACAUUCUGAUUCUUGAUUAGUUUGGCUAUAUCUUAGAAGCUUGAUUUGCAUGCUAUGGAUGUGGUGACAAAUUAUUGGUAUAGCUCAUUAAAUGUGUGUUUGUGUGUGUGUAAAAUCCUAAAGUAUUCAAAAUGCUUGAAGCAUCUCAGUCACCAUAUUAUAACUUAUGUUUUAUAAAGCUAUAGAAAUCUUUGUAUGCAUUAAAAUAAUAUGGACACAUGUGGUAUGAUCAUCUCAGUGAAUACUUGAUUAAGGAAGGAUACAUAAAUGACCCUAAUUGUCCUUAAAUAUUCAUAAAGAAGUCGGAAUAUGGAUUUACUAUCAUACCAUUAUAUAACGACGAUAUCAAUUUAAUUAGAACUUGAAGAUCUCCAAAAGGCUGUUGAUUAUUUGAAAAGGGAGUUUUAAAUGAAUAUUUAGAAAAAAAAACUAGAUAUUAUCUUGGGCUACAUAUCGAGUAUAGAUAUAAUGGUAUCUCUAUCUAUCAAUUAAAUCAUAUAAAGAAGAUAUUGAAAUAUUUCAAUAUGGAUAAAGAUGACCCAUUGAAUACCCAAAUGGUAGUCCGGUCUCUUGAUCCUAACAAAGAUCUUUUUUAUCUUAAAGAGAAUGAUGAACAUAUACUGCAUUCUAAAGUACCAUAGUUGAAUGUCAUUGGUGCUUUAAUAUAUUGGACUAUGCAUACUUUUUCACUAAACGUGUCAGCAAGGUUUAGUUCUGAACCAAUUAGACAACAUUAGAAUGGUGUCAUACAUAUUUUUCAUUAUAUUCGUAGGAAUAUUGAUUUGAGCUUAUUUAAUUCUAAUGAAUUAACAAAAAAAUUAGGUCUUGUUGGUUAUGUUGAUGCAGGUUAUUUAUCUGAUCCUCAUAAAGUUCAUAGAUGGGAUAUGAUUUUACUUACAAUGGUACAGUAAUUUUUUACAAAUCUGGGAAGUAGACUCUUGCUAUAUCCUUGAAUUACUCUAACAUCCUUGCAUUGCAUGAAGCAUGUUAAGAAUAUGCAUAGUUGCGGUCUAUCAUUCAUCACAUCUAGAGCACCUGUAAAUUAUCUUUAAGUGCGGAUGCCCCAACAUGAUAUAUAAGGAUAAUGCUGCUUGCAUUACUCAACUCAAAGGAGGAUAUAUUAAAAGAGAUGGAAUAUCAUGAGCUCUAACAUGACAAGAAUAUUGAUAUUAAGUAGAUAUGCUCUAUAGAUAAUUUUACAGAUAUAUUCACUAAAACUUUACCCACUUCAACAUUUGAGAAAAUAGUAUAUGGUAAGGGUUGGCAAAAUACCAGACCCGACUCGAUCCGAUCAGAAAUAAAUCGAGUUUGGAUCGGAUCGGGUUGUAAAUAAAACCCAAUCGGGUGCAUUUGUGUCAACACAAUCGGAUCAUGGUCGGAUCAGAUCAGGUGGAUCAUGAUCGGAUCGGGUUAACCCGAUCGGGUUGAUACAAAAUAAAAAAAAUUAAACCCCAAAUACACACCACACACACACACACACUGGAACGCACACACACCACACACACACCACACACACACUGGAACAAAAACACCCCACACACACUAGAACACACACACUGGAACAUGAAGUGAACACCACACACACUGACACACCCACAACCCCCUGCCGACCAGCAACAUAAUCGCCCACACCCACCCAUAGGCCACAGCCUCCCUCUCUCGUAUCCCACUAUCGACGGCAACAAGCGGCAGUUACACAGCCCACGCCCACAUCUAAACAAACAAAACAUAGUCACAAUUACAAACAGUCAAACACACACAUGAAGUUUACAGAGCAAGCUAGAUCUGGCCACCAGACGCAACAACCGCCAAGAGCCAACGCCAACCGAAGCUAUUCGUGAGGAUGGUAACUCGAUCUACUGAUCUACUGCGACCAAGUACCGGAUCUGCUGCGCCACCUCCACGCCUCCAAUCCUCCGCCAUCACCAGAUCCGAUUUAAGCUCCAUUUGGCUAUUGAGUUUUGAAAGCUUUGGGUUGUUGUUGUAAAUGUGUAGAUCGUGCGUGUGUAAAUGGGUAGAUUGUGUGUGUAUAUUUUUUAUAUCCGACCCGACCCGAUCCGAUCCGAAUUAUAUUCAGAUCGGGUCGGAUCAGGUUAUAGAUUCGGGUUGAAUUCGGAUGAGUUCUUAUCUAACCCGACCAACCUGAAACCCGAUCGGGUUGAUCUGAACCCGAACCGAACCCGAUUUUGCCCACCCCUAGUAUACGGUACUAGCAUGCAUCAUUUGAAUAGAUUAUCAAAUUGAUCAUUAGUGGAGCAAACAUUAGGGGAAGUGCAAUCUUGCAAAAGAAGAAAUUCUACAACUAAACUAGACACAUGUGCACUGUACACUUUUUUCCUCAUGACUAGGCUUUUUCAUUUGAUUUUUACCGCGAAGUUCUUAAUAAGCAAUUUUAAAGAAAUAGUAAUUUAGCAUAACUAAUUAGAUAAAAUUAUAAAAUUAACAAUUCCAAAAAAACAUGAGCACACAUACUGCGUCUCAGUUUUUUAAAGUCUACAAUUAGGUUUUAAUUACAUAUAUAUACUACACUGUAGUAGAAGUGUGUUAAAAAGCACAUCAAAAUAUCAAAAUUAGCAACACAAUUUUCUGUGAAUGUCCAUACUACUACUAUCAUGCCAUUCACUGUAAUAGUAUUUUUCUACAACAUAAAGCCCCAAUUAGUAGUUUCUAUUUUGGCAAAACAAAGGAUUAAUUUUUUUAAGAAAAAGAAAAAAAUUAUCUUAUAUGUAAAUAAAACAUUAUUUUUUAAAGAAAAAGAAAAAACUUACAGCCAAUUUAAGCGAUUGCUUUGCCCUUCAAAUCUCUCUUUGUUUGAAUUGGGCCAGAUUGUGGAGUGAUCCCACUAGAUUUGCGUCCCUCUCCAAUUUCAAUGCCUCUUCUUGGUGGCACUGAAAAUUGAUCAAAAGCUGAGUUUGUUGUUGUUGAUGCAUUCAUUCGUCCCUCUUUUCCUCUGCUUAUUCUUACUGCUUCUUUUGUUGCUGCUAUUUUCUUUGUUGUUGAACCUCUUGUUAAUUGUUUUGGGGUAGGCGUAGAAGUAUUAGGUGAUGGCUGAGCUGUUGAUCCACUAGGUGUUGAGUUUCCAACAACGUUCACUCUUGUAAAUGAUGCUCCUGAGCUUGAGGCUACUGCCAAGUUCUUGCGAUGCUUCUGUUCAGCACAGUUAAGUAAAUUUUGUAAUUAUAAUGUUAGUACACCCAAUCCUUAUGAUAAAUUUAUAUUACUCCCAAUAUAUAGUGACAAGACUUUAAUUUAUAUCCCAAAAAAUGUGAAAACAUCAGUUUACCCCAUAUGUAGUCACUCUAGGUGGGGGUAAUUUCAAGAUAACGUAAUAGUAACUAAAAGAAUUUGAAAAAUUAAAAAUUAAAUUGUAAGCAAUUUUAAACUGACCAAUAUACGCCUGGUCUUCUUAUGUGCAUUGGCUGGAUCAACAUGGCAGCCCUUUAUAUUGUGACCAAUACCUCGACACUAUGAACAACAUACUGCAAACAUUUUUCUAUGUGCUGGUGGUUCAUCAGCCUCCCUUCUUCUACAUGCCUUAGGCCUGCCAGGUGGUCUUUAAACAAUUGGGGAUAAUAUUUCAUCAGUUUCAACAUGUGCCCAUUUAGAUUUGUCCGGUAAUAGAUGAAUAAUGCCAGCAUAGUAUCUUAAAUAUGCAUCCUUUAGGAAACAAGGGGCAAUAGACUUCUCAUAAGUAGCCCUAAUGUGAGCUAUACAAGGCAUUGCACGCUUACAAGGUAAGCUACUGAUCUGCCACAACCCACAACUACAUGUAUGCUCAUCAAGGUUGACAAUAUAAAACUCUUGGCCUAUUUCAACUUUAUAUAAGGCAUCACUUGUUGGUAUGACGUGAUAGUUCCUACUAACCUUCAGCAUGCUAUUCAUCUUCUUGUUAAUAAAAGCAGGAACAUCACUUGGCCACUUCAAACAAGUUUGUCUUCUCUCAAUUAUUGCUUUCAUCAUGCACUUCUUAAUGUAUUUCACCAAAGCUAUAAAUGGUGGUUUCCUUAUUUCACUAAGCCAUGCAUUCCAACUCUCUGUCAUGUUGUUUGUUGUGUGAUUACACUUUAUAAACUUAGCAAAGGCCUGCACUGACCAAUGCUUGGGAUUUAACUUUCUCAACCACUGAAAUGAAUCUUCAUCAAUUUUUCGUAUGCCAUUCAUUGCCUUUACAAAAACAUCUUCACUUGAUGCUUUAACCGCCCUCCAAAACUCACCCCUUAACUCCACUUAUGGGAAUCUUGUCUUGUGAUUCGCAAAAACAUGUUUUGCACAAAACCUAUUUUGUGCUCCAAUGAACUCCAAAUGAAGUGCAUUAAAUACUCCCUUUUGCUUGUCAGUCAUGAAUGUCAUUUACCUGUCAUCAACUAAAUACUCUUGCAAGUGGCCCAAAAACCAAGUCCCGCUUUUAGUAUUCUCAGAAUCACAAGCACACAUUGCAAUGGGAAAUAUCUUUUGAUUUGCAUCCAAACUUACUGUUGAUAACAACAUACCUUCAAAUGGCCCCUUCAAGUGAUAGCCAUCAAGCCCUAUGAAUGGCCUACAACCCUCCUUGAACCCAUCUCUAAGGUCUAGGAAGCUCAUCGUAAACCUUUGAAACUUGCACUUAUCAGCAAGUGUGUCAUGUUUUAUCACCUUCAACAAGGCCAAUACCCUUGACAUUUGCUGUUUGAUGACAUUUGCAUAAUCCCAUAAUGAGUUAAAGCUCUCAACAUGGUCACCACCAACAGUUGAUUUUAAAAUUCUUCUCUUUACCCUAUAAAGCUUUUGUGGAGCAACAAUCACCCCAUGCAUUUUUUUCAGAUCAUCUACAAGUGUGUCAACACCUGUCCUUGGAUCAGCAAGCACUUUAUUCCGGUACUUUCUUGCUAUCCAAGCUUCAUUUGCCUCAGGAUUGUUAUCAAGGCCUUCACAGGUGUGUAUGUUGUGCAAAGUUCGAAAUUUGACAAUGCCUUUAGCUCUCAAAUGCCCCUUCCAUAACAAAAGCCUUACAAAUAUCAAUAAUAACACCAAUGUAGGAAUGAUAUCUUUAAAAUUAAAAGCAAAACCAAAAUAUCCAUCACCAAAACCAAAACAUACAGGGAAUAUAUCAAUAACUCAGUUUCUUAGUUAUGUUUGCUAAACAACCAUUUUUUUAAAUCUCUAGCAGCAACUGAUUUGUAAAGGAAAUACUAUAAAUCUUGUUAAUGGUACAAUGAAAACAAAAUGCCCCAAUUCACUAAGAACUAGGGUUUAAACCUAUUUUUCUUCAAAUAAUAAAAAUUAUAGAAGAAAUUUUUCAUAUAUACAAGUCAUUGUUCUAGUUAAUAUUGUCCUGCAUUUUUAAAAAAUGCUGCUAAACCCUUUGAAUGGAAAUUACUGAAUGAAAAAAAAAUAAAUUCCUUACCUCUGCCAUCGUAAGGUUGUUGUUACCAGCAACCAUUCUCCAAUGGUCAAUUUUCUUUUUGUCUUUCGAAGAAAAAAUGCAUUGUUUAUGGCCAAUAUUUGAUGCUCUGUUUCAAAGUUUCUCUCUCUAACCUAUGAACAAGAUGAUGGUUCGCAUUAAGAGAAAAUGAUCCUUUUCUGUUUUUACAUUUAACCACUUAUAUAUUUUCUCAUUAAAAAUUUGAAAAUAACUUAUUUUAUAUUACCCUAUAUAAAAUUAUAAAAUUCUAGGGAGUGGUUGAAAGACUACCUUGAUUUGACAUGUCGCAAUUCUCUAGGCUAACACUCGUUAUGGUAUUUGUUCAAAUACGAUUUUACCCUUUAAGCUCAUAACUUUAACAGAAAGAUCACGAUAAUUAGGGGGUUGAGUGAUGUUUUCGUAUCCUUGGAGGGUAUUUUGAAGCUAGUCACUCUAGUAGGGGGCACAAUAAAAUUUACCCUUGCUUAUUAGAUGGUUGAUGUGUUCCCUCCAAUUUACUCCAAAACUUCCGAUGAAAUAAAACGAAUAUUAUUAAUGUGUUUCUAAAGUUUACGAGUUACCUAUUAUUAAUAUUUUCUCAACUUUUACUCUUUACUUAAUAUUUAAAAAAAUUAUUUACUAUUAAACAAAAAAUUCUAAAAUUUUGGGGAUGCUGCAGGUAUGAGAGUGGUUCUGCCAUCGUAAAAAAUGAAUUAGCUAGGCUAAUGAGCUUCAAUAACGAGGUUUUUCACAAGUUGAAAUUAGGGCACCGAAAUCCCCACCAUUCUCCGAGUGCAAAUGUUGUGUUUUGGUCAAAUAAGAAUAAAAUUUAAUUAUGAAAAGUCAUGAUACUUGGUGGAGUUGUGGUCAAAUUUAAUUAUGAAAAAUCAUGAUGCUUGGUGGGGUUGUGGUCAAGUCUAAUUAUGAAAAGUCAUGGUGCUUGAUGGUAGGUAUUGCAAAAAUCACAAUGUUUUGUGGUGGGGUGUCGGUUUUAAAAGUCUAUAUAAGGACAAGGGAGAUGGCUUUCAAAAAAUAAUUCAAUUCUUUAUAAGUCUUGUCCUUAUCAAUUUCCUACAACAUAAAAAUAAAAAUUUUGUCAGAUAUAAAGUGUUCAUAUUGUAACACUCCAGUUCGAAAUCCAAGGGCAAAAAUGUCCAUAACUCACAUAUAUAUUUAAAUAACUCUUUAAAACUGAUAAACUUCGAGCCUUAAAUACAAAAGCCAGCGGAAUAACUUAAAAAUUUAGCCAAACCAUCUACCAUCUUUAAUUUAAAUCCAUCUUCUCACUCCUCACGAAUCAAUCCUGACUUCUGGAAAUUGAAUCACAAUAAACUAUAAUGAGUACAAAACCCAGUAAGCAAACUAGUUUUUCUUAUACGGACAUACAUACAUACUUAUACAUAAUGUAAUGGAUGAUAUGACAUGAUCUUUGGAAAUACUGUAAAUACAUUCAUCAAAAUCUCUUUUUGUCGCUUUCAAACUUUUUCAUUUUCUUUCAAUAAAAUAUGUAUCCUGCAAUGUGGCACUUUGUGCUGUGCGUGACACUUUGCACCAUGCGUGGCACUUUGUGGCGCUCAGGCCUUCAAGAGGUGGCCCCCGCAUAGUGUCAAAAGGUGGCCCCCACACAACUUCAAGAGGUGACCCCCAAUGCAAAAUCUCAUAAAACAAAAAUUCCGUUUGCUAAAAUCAACUUUCUCAUUUUACAAAAAACAUAAUGCAUUUUCGUGCUCAUGCCAAUGAAAUAUUCACACAUACGUAUGCCCAUGUCCAUAAACACACAUAACAACACAUCACAUAAACACAUGGGCAGAGACAUAGAAAUCCAUAUUCAUACAUAUCAAAAUAGGCUUUUCACACAAGUCAAACACAUAUAUUGUUUAUUGUGAUUCGUUUGGAAAUCUAGUUUACUUACCUCCUAGUAUCCUUGAGUAACAAAUGCACAUCGAUAUCAUCGGCCUCUUGAUCUUGAUUUCUCUAAACCUUUCUAAAUUAAGGAUUUCUCUACUCUUGUUAUUAUGACUUAGAAUGGAAGAGAAUGAAAUUUCUAAGUUGCAUUCAAAAUGAAAGGUGGUGGGGGUAUUUAUAGGAUUUCUUAAAUUCAAAAUGAAAUUUAAUAGAUGGCUAGGAAUUUGCCUCCAUAACUCUUGAUCAAUGGUUGAAGUUAUCCUUCAUAAAUACCUUACUAGUUUCUAAAACUCUUAUCUAUCUCUACAACUUCUCUUACAUCAUCACUUAUGUCAUAGAUUAUGUAAUCUUUACUUAGAAUUAAAUACCUAAGUAAAGAUGAGAUUAUCCUUCAUAAAUGUCUGGCUAACUUCUAGAAUUCCUUAACUUUCUCUACACUUCUUUUUACAUCAUCGCUUAUGUCAAUGCUUACGUCAUCAUUCCUUAUGUCAUUGCUUAUGUCAUCAUUCCUUAAUUUAAAUAUUAUAAACUCAAGGGGCUUGUUAACUUAAAUAAAUUCUACUAUAUUUAAAAGAAGUAGGGUAUUACACAUAUUUUCCUAGUGAAUUCUUCACUUUUGCUUGGUGCAGAUUCACAUUAAAGGCUUGUCAUAUCUUGAAAACAACUUGUCAACAAACCCAUAAGCAAUCUCUACCAAGAUGGGGCAAUUAACGCUUUAAGAAAAGCGUAUUCAAUACGUGUUUCAAGUCUUUAUCUACUAUUGUUAUUAUUUUAUUUAUUUAACAAUCUUAAAGCGUUAAUUUUGGAGACCGAAACCACCGUUGCCACCAUUAAAUUUAUGAAUCAAGAUUUGGUGAAACUAGAUUGCUUUGAUGUCGUUGGCAAGACAAAUUGAAGUUCAUGUUGACUACUCUGAAAAUUUUCUAUAUUUUAAAUCCAAAUUUUAAGGCCAUUCCAGAACCUACAGAAAUAAAUAGUGAAGAAAUAAAGGCAGAGCGCAAGAAACGACAAGAAUAUGAACUUAUAUGCCGGGGACAUAUUCUGAAUUCCUUAUCAGACAGACUGUAUGAUCUCUACACCAACACUUCUUCUGGGAAGGAAAUAUGGAAUGCCUUGGAAUACAAAUACAAAGUAGAGGAGGAAGGUACAAAGAAAUUUUUAAUUUCUAAGUACUUUGAUUUUAAGUUUAUUAAUAACAAACCUGUGUUGCCUCAAGUACAUGAAUUGCAAGUUGUUGUCAACAAAUUGAGGGUUGUCAAAAUUGAUCUUCCAAAACCAUUUCAAGUUGGAGCAAUAAUUGCUAAAUUGCCUCCAUCUUGGAAUGGGUAUAGGAAGAGGAUUAGUCACAAUAGUGAAGUUUUUUCUCUUGAAAAAAUUCACAAACAUCUUCGUAUUGAGGAAGAAUCGAGAUCAAGGGAUAAAACUGAAGAGUCUUAUGAAGGCACAUCAAAGGCCAAUAUUGUGAGCAAGCCCAAAAGUUCCAGUAAGAGUAACCAUAAAAAAAGGGAAUUCUCUUGGUCCUAAAAAGGAUAACAAGAAAUUCAAAAGACCCAAAGGAGCAUGAUUUGUCUGUGGCAAAUUAGGACAUUUUUGUUAAUAUAUAUGUUUCCAUAAUGUUGAUUUUGAUGAUAACAAACAAGAUUAAGAAUGAUUAAUCUUUUAAGCUCAAAUUAUUUUCUUUUUAAAUAAAUCAUUAUUUUCACAUUAUAAAAGUUUCAUAUUUAAUGGAAAAAUGAUUUUAAAAAAUUGGUUGUUUUUCAAGUUUAUGGUUUAAUUGGAAGAAUUUUGAAAAACUUUGAAAUCAACAAGUAUUGUUUAAAAUUUUGAAAAAAGACUUAUUUGAAAAGUUUCAUAAUAUUUUGGGCCAUAUGAUAAUUUCAAAAAGUUUUGGGAUUGAAAUAGCAUUAUCUAGAAAUUAUGAAAUUGGACCUAUUUGAAAGCUUUCAUAAUAUUUUGGGUCAUAAUACAGUUUUAUAAAAUUUUAGGGGCAAAUAUAAUUUUAGAAAAUAGUUCACUAUAGCAGUUACUGUAGCAAGCGGCUAACCGGAUAUGAAAAAUUGUAAGCCGGAUGUUGGGCAGAAUCUAUCCGAAUUGAAAGCGGGUAACCGUAUCCUAACAAACAGUAAUCCGGUUGUUGGGCAGUAAGCUUCUGGAGCUUAAACGGCUAACCAGAUUUCACAAGCGGCAUCCCGGAUGUUCAAAAAUUUAAAAUUGUGGCUGUAAUGGUAAUAUUAAGUGGCUAAUCGGAUGUCCAUAAACAGUAAGCCGGUUAUGACCAAAAUGUGUAUAACGGCUAGUUUUUGAGCUCAAACUAUAUAAAUUCAAAACCAAUUCAUUUUUGGUAAUCUUGGCAAGCAAAAACAAGUGCACACAGCAUAUAUUGAGCUUCAAUUUCGUAAAUCAUCAUUUAUUAAAUCAUCUUUGUUCUUCAAUUUGUAUAUCCACUCUUAAAGAGAGUUUCAUUGUUGUAAUUUUCAUUUAUCAUCAAAUUGUGAGUGUACAAAUGUGAGAAACACUUGGGGUGAAGAGAUUGGAGAGAUAAUCUCUUGUUGUAAAGGUUCAUUGACACCUUAAAGUCAAUUGUAAACGAUUGAAGCCUUGACUUCUUCUGGGAAGGAAAUAUGGAAUGCCUUGGAAUACAAAUACAAAGUAGAGGAGGAAGGUACAAAGAAAUUUUUAAUUUCUAAGUACUUUGAUUUUAAGUUUAUUAAUAACAAACCUGUGUUGCCUCAAGUACAUGAAUUGCAAGUUGUUGUCAACAAAUUGAGGGUUGUCAAAAUUGAUCUUCCAAAACCAUUUCAAGUUGGAGCAAUAAUUGCUAAAUUGCCUCCAUCUUGGAAUGGGUAUAGGAAGAGGAUUAGUCACAAUAGUGAAGUUUUUUCUCUUGAAAAAAUUCACAAACAUCUUCGUAUUGAGGAAGAAUCGAGAUCAAGGGAUAAAACUGAAGAGUCUUAUGAAGGCACAUCAAAGGCCAAUAUUGUGAGCAAGCCCAAAAGUUCCAGUAAGAGUAACCAUAAAAAAAGGGAAUUCUCUUGGUCCUAAAAAGGAUAACAAGAAAUUCAAAAGACCCAAAGGAGCAUGAUUUGUCUGUGGCAAAUUAGGACAUUUUUGUUAAUAUAUAUGUUUCCAUAAUGUUGAUUUUGAUGAUAACAAACAAGAUUAAGAAUGAUUAAUCUUUUAAGCUCAAAUUAUUUUCUUUUUAAAUAAAUCAUUAUUUUCACAUUAUAAAAGUUUCAUAUUUAAUGGAAAAAUGAUUUUAAAAAAUUGGUUGUUUUUCAAGUUUAUGGUUUAAUUGGAAGAAUUUUGAAAAACUUUGAAAUCAACAAGUAUUGUUUAAAAUUUUGAAAAAAGACUUAUUUGAAAAGUUUCAUAAUAUUUUGGGCCAUAUGAUAAUUUCAAAAAGUUUUGGGAUUGAAAUAGCAUUAUCUAGAAAUUAUGAAAUUGGACCUAUUUGAAAGCUUUCAUAAUAUUUUGGGUCAUAAUACAGUUUUAUAAAAUUUUAGGGGCAAAUAUAAUUUUAGAAAAUAGUUCACUAUAGCAGUUACUGUAGCAAGCGGCUAACCGGAUAUGAAAAAUUGUAAGCCGGAUGUUGGGCAGAAUCUAUCCGAAUUGAAAGCGGGUAACCGUAUCCUAACAAACAGUAAUCCGGUUGUUGGGCAGUAAGCUUCUGGAGCUUAAACGGCUAACCAGAUUUCACAAGCGGCAUCCCGGAUGUUCAAAAAUUUAAAAUUGUGGCUGUAAUGGUAAUAUUAAGUGGCUAAUCGGAUGUCCAUAAACAGUAAGCCGGUUAUGACCAAAAUGUGUAUAACGGCUAGUUUUUGAGCUCAAACUAUAUAAAUUCAAAACCAAUUCAUUUUUGGUAAUCUUGGCAAGCAAAAACAAGUGCACACAGCAUAUAUUGAGCUUCAAUUUCGUAAAUCAUCAUUUAUUAAAUCAUCUUUGUUCUUCAAUUUGUAUAUCCACUCUUAAAGAGAGUUUCAUUGUUGUAAUUUUCAUUUCUCAUCAAAUUGUGAGUGUAGUUGCCUAGUUAGUAUUUCAUUUGGUAUCAGAGCAAGGUGCUCUUGUGUAGACUUAACCGUCUAGAGUUAAAGAUCCAUAGCAACCCAAAUUAGCUCAACCAUCAUGGAAGGCCAAUCUAUCACUAGACCUCCAUUUUUCGAUGGAAAUGAUUAUCCUUAUUGGAAAACUAGGAUGAGAGUGCUUUUACAAGCCUUAGAUUAUGAAAUAUGGAAAAUAGUUUGUGAUGGUUCAUUCAUUCCUAGGAAGAAUGUUUUAAGUGAGUUGGAUAAGAAAAAUAUGUCUUUAAAUUCCAAGGCUAUGAAUGCUUUAUUUUGUGCCUUAGAUAAAAAAGAAUUUCAUAGAGUUUCAAAUUGUUCUAAUGCUUAUGAAAUUUGGAGAAAACUUGAAAUUGUGUAUGAGGAGACUAUAAACGAGGAGGAAUUUCAUAAAGUGUCGAAUUUGACACUUAUGGCAAUUGGAGAUCAAUCGGAUGAUGAACUUAAUGAGGUAAAUGAUCUUCUUACUUAUGAUGAAUUACAUGAUGCUUUUAAAGAAUUACAUGAUGAGUGGAUGAAACUUGGUAAAAAGAAUGCAUGCCUUAAGAAGAAAAUGCUAGAACUUACAAAUGAAAAGGAUACCAUGCAAAAAUGCAUUGAUUCAUUGAAUGAGAAGAUAAAGGAAUUAGAAUUAGAGAAUAAAACAUUGCAUGAUGAAGUUGCAUUAUCAAAUGAGAAAUUUAGCACUUCACACAAGCAUCUAGAAUCACAUGUAGAUAACUUGAAAAAUGAAAAGGAUACUUUACAAAAAUGUAAUGAUUCAUUAAAUGAAAAGAUUAAAGGACUAGAGUUAGAUAAUGAAAUGUUGCAUGAUAGAAUUGCAUCAUUUAAAGUUAAACAAAAUAUUUCGUAUGAGCAUGAAAAAUCACAUGUUGAUAAAUUGAUGAAAGAAAAUGAUGUGCUUAAGAAAAAGAGUAAUGAGCUCAAUGAAAUUGUGUUAAAAUUCGCAAAAGGUCAACAGAACUUAGAAAAAUUACUAAGCAUUCAAAAAUGUGUGUUUGAUAAAGGAGGACUUGGGUAUAAGCCUUACUUGAAACAAAAAUAUUAUAAGAAUUAUUUUGUUAAGGCUACCUCCACAAGUGAUCAUAAGAUUGUUUGUCAUUAUUGUAAUGGAAAUGAUCAUAUGAGUUUUAGAUGUCUAGUUAAGAGAAAUGUAUAUUAUGGAGUCAAAUGUAUUUGGGUUCCAAAAGGAACAAAAUCUAACGUUCAAGGACCUAAGAGUAUUUGGGUACUAAAGCACACAACUUGAAUAUUUUUUUUGUAGGUACCACAAACAAGGAAUGGUGGAGAGUUCCUUGAUGAAGCUUAUGAGGAUAAUCACUUGAUCAUGGUCUAAGCAAAAAUAAUGAGGCAAGAUGAUUUAAUUGUUUUGGUAACUAUUAUUGCCUUAUUGAUUAUAAGUGAUGGUCUUUUAAUCUUAGUAAAUAUUUAACAUUUCAUUUGUUAUCAUAACAUUAAGUGCAUUAACAUGAAGUGGAUAAGUUUAUCUUGCCUAUUUAUUAUGUUGAGUGGAUCAUGAUAAAUGGAUAAUAGCUUGAAUUUGUGAAAGUAUACUUGUAUGUUUACAUGAUUGAAUUAUUAUUGUGUUUAACAUUGAGUCCUUUAUUAUGAUGCAUGGUUAUAUAUAUAAGAUGAUAGCUUGUCAACUCAUCAUGAUAGAUUUGUUUGAUUUUGAUGAUUAUGUAAUGCCUAAGCUUGAUAAAUGAGUGAUAUGCUUGAAUUAUUAAUCUUUGAAUGCUUAUAUGUUUCAUGAUUGAGUAAAAUAUAUACAUGAUGAAUGAAUUAUAUGUGUGAAUUCUUGUGCCGUUAAUUGUGUUUUAUCAUCAUUCAUUUAUAAAAUUGACAUCAUUGUUUGAUAUGAUUUCAUAUGUUUGGUCUUGUAUGCAUAUAUGUUUCAUGCACUAAUUGGCUUAUUGAAAAGUUAAAUGAUUUUUAAAAUUGAUCAAUUUUUAAGCCAAAAAUAAAUUGGUGUGUACAAUACAAGUUUUUGGGUUAACCAAAAUUCAAUAAGAGGCAAAAUGAUCUCUAAGGCACAACUGGCAUGCCACAUGUAACCAACCGGCAAGCCGUUUGCUUAUGGUUGCUCUCGGGUCGACUUUCGGAUAAUCGGAUUGGAAAACCGGUAAGCCUUUUGAGAAAAUUUUAUUUCUGGGCAAAAACCGGUCAACCGGUUAUGAAAUCCGGAAAGCCGGAUUCAGUUUGGAAUUUACUGGACACAAACCGGUCAUCCGGUUAUGAAAUCCGAAAAGCCGGAUUUGCAAAGUUCCUUUUCUGCCUCAAAAUCGAAAAGCCGAUUCUUCUAUCCGGUAAACCGAAUUCGUUUCUCUCCUCACUGGACACUAACCGGCUAACUGGUUAGUGAAAUCCGGCAAGCCGGAUUCGGGCAUUCAUCAUUCGUCAACCAUUUUCUCUCUCUCUUUAAAAUCCACCAUUUCUUUUUAAUCAACAUCAUACAUCGCAUCUCUAAAAUCAUUUUAAUUGAUUUAAAAUUUCCCAUUUUACUCAAUAUCUUGAAAAUUUGAAUUUGUGCAUUUUGAGUAUUUCAAAUUACCACUUCCAUAGUGUGCUUUCCUUAUGGAUUUUACCAUAGUUUUCUAUUAUAUUAUGCACUUACAUUUUCAUAUGCAUUGUUGCUUUCAUUGUGGAUUGAUGAUGAUUAUUGUUUGAUAUUUGGAUGUUUUAUAUUUGGAUAAUGUGGAACUAAUGUGCUUAUCUUGAGAUUUUGAUGAUUGAUAGGGGGAGUUUGUUACUCUUUUUGAUGAUAAAGCGGGAGAUAUGAGAUUUAAGGGAGAAAUACAUCUACUUUGGGAUUCUUAAACAUAUGAGAUUUUUUUAAGUUAUAUUGAAAUGUCACAUUAGAUCUUUGAUAAGUUUAGUUCUCUUGAUUUCUAAAAUGUGAUUAAUAAUUAUAGAGCUUGGAUAGUUGAUAAUAUGUUCUUAUAACUUUUGCAUGCCAAAUUAUCAAAACCUAUUUGCGAAGAACAAUUUUAAGAAAUUCGGCAUGAACUUGGGAUGAUGAAAUUUAUUAAUAUCUCUAGUCAUGUUAUUAAUACUAUUAAAAUGGAUUUCUUGAUGAUUUUGAUGAUUAAUGAUUAUAUGUGUGUUGCUUGAUGAAUUGGUGAAAUUGUUAGUUUGUAAUAAUUGUUUAAGCAUAUAUGGAAGUGUUUUAACCAUGUUGUAUAUUUGAGGAUUUGUUCAUUUUUAAGGGGCGAUUCUGCCAAAAAUUUUUUCUCGCACAAAAUGGGUGAUAUCUUCACCGAAUUAUUUUUGAUGAUCUUGUUUCGAUUGCAUCUAUCUAUCUUUUCUUUUUUACGAUGAAAGGAGAGAUAAAUAUGAUAUGUUUUUUUUGGAUAAAAUCAUUUUGGUUAAAAUUUUAAAUUGGCCAUAUAUUUAGGGGGAGCAUAUAAUAUGAUUUUGGAUCAUAUGCAUUUUGAACUUUUUUGUUGUCCAAAGGGGGAGACAAAGUAAUAUAUCAUUUCGAUGUUGUUAAAAGGAGGAGAAUAAUAUGCACUUUGAGUAUUCUUUUAAUGAUUGAUAUUUGAUUAUGAUGAUGAUUUUGAGAUAAUGAUUAUUUGAUUACAUAGUUGUUUUAUAUGAUAAUUUUAUGUUAUGAGUUGUUGAUUUGGUAAUUAAUGGAAUAAUGGUUCAUGAUAUUUUGGUGUGAUGAUUUGUGUAUGGAGUUGGCUUGUAUCAUGAUUUAUAAUAAUUUGGGAGUAAUAUUACUAAACUUGUAUUUGAGGUAAUGCUUGUUGUUAGGGGGAGAAUGUGUUGAAAUUUCUACUCGGACAAACAAGAGUAAUAAAUUUGCUACUCUUAUUAUUUUCCUUUAAGUUUUCUUUUUGAUGAUGAAGGGGAAGAAGAGUACAUGUUUUUAAAUUUAUAAAAAUUUACUACUCUUUUUCUUUGCCAAUUAAGUUUUCUUUUUUAUGAUGAAGGGGGGGAAAAAUGCAUGUAUUUAAAUUUGUUAAUUUAGCUAAUUGACAAAUUGUAAGAGAAGAUUAUAUUUAGGGGGAGCAAUUUGUGGAAUCAUUUUUUAAAUACAUGAAAUGUUUGUCAUCAUCAAAAAGGGAGAGAUUGUUAACAUAAAUGUUUCCAUAAUGUUGAUUUUAAUGAUAACAAACAAGAUUAAGAAUGAUUAAUCUUUUAAGCUCAAAUUAUUUUCUUUUUAAAUAAAUCAUUAUUUUCACAUUAUAAAGGUUUCAUAUUUAAUGGAAAAAUGAUUUUAUGAAAUUUGUUGUUUUUCAAGUUUUUGGUUUAAUUGGAAGAAUUUUGAAAAACUUUGAAAUAAACAAGUAUUGUUUGAAAUUUUGAAAAAAGACUUAUUUGAAAAGUUUCAUAAUAUUUUGGGCCAUAUCAUAAUUUCAAAAAGUUUUGGGAUUGACAAAACAUUAUUUAGAAAUUAUGAAAUUGGACCUAUUUGAAAGCUUGCAUAACGUUUUGGGUCAUAAUACAGUUUUAUAAAGUUUUGAGGGCAAACUAUAAUUUUAGAAAAUAGUUCACUGUAGCAGUUACUGUAGCAAGCGGCUAACUGGAUAUGAAAAAUCGGUAAGCCGGAUGUUGGGCAGAAUCUAUCCGAAUUGGGUAAGCCGGUUAUGACCAAAAUGUGCAUAACGGCUAGUUUUUGAGCUCAAACUAUAUAAACUCAAAACCAAUUCAUUUUUGGUAAUCUUGGCAAGCAAAAACAAGUGCACACAACAUAUAUUGAGCUUCAAUUUCGUAAAUCAUCAUUUAUUAAAUCAUCUUUGUUCUUCAAUUUGUAUAUCCACUCUUAAAGAGAGUUUCAUUGUUGUAAUUUUCAUUUCUCAUCAAAUUGUGAGUGUACAAGUGUGAGAAACACUUGAGGUGAAGAGAUUGGAGAGAUAAUCUCUUGUUGUAAAGGUUCAUUGACACCUUGAAGUCAAUUGUAAACGAUUGAAGCCUUGGAAAGGCUCGGAUAGUGAAAUUCUCAAGCCCGGUGUGCUUGGAGGCGUAGGCAUAGACGGAGAUUGUCGAACCACGUAAAAAUCCUUAAGUUUUCUUUCUCUUCCCUUGCUCAUUUAUUAUUGUGCUUUCAUUGAAUUUAUUGUUUUUGAAUUUAUUAAGGCAUUAGAUUAGAUUGUUGUGUGGUUUGCUUAGCUUAAUUUUUAAAAACCCAAUUCACCCCCCCCUUUUGGGUUGCCUAGUUAGUAUUUCAAUUUUGACCAUGAUUGUAAGUUUCGAAAGAAGCCAAAUAAAGAAGAAAAAGCAAAUACUAUAGAGGAAGAGAUUGUCCCUAUUGUGAGCGAUAUCAAUGCUAUCCAUGGCAAUGUUCAAGGUUGGUGGUAUGAUACUUGUGCCACAGUUCAUGUUUCCUAUGAUUUUUUCAAGACUUAUCAAAAUGUCACUAAUGAACAUGAGAUUCAGAUGGGAAAUGAAGGCCGAUCCAAAGUGCUUGGCAAAGGGAAUGUAGAUUUUUUUUUCACUUCUGGAAAGAAGAUUAUUUUGGCCAAUGUUCUUCAUGUUCCCGAUCUGAAUAGGAACCUUGUCAGUGGGGAUCUUUUUAUCAAGCCUGGAGUUAAAUCUGUGUAUGAAUUAAGCAAAUUAAUUUUGUCCAAAAAUGGCAUAUUUAUUAGGAAAUGAUACUCUUGUGAUGGAAUGAUGAAAUUAUGUACUAUUGACAAUAAUGGUAAUAAAAAUAAUUCUUUGGCUUAUAUGGUUGAUUCCGUUUCUUUAUGGCAUGGUAGAUUAACACAUAUGGGAAUUAGUACCAAUAAAAGAAUGGUUAAAUAUGGUAUGCUAUCCUGUGAUAUAAAUAAUUUUGAGAAGUGUGAAACAUGCAUAAAAGCCAAAAUGACCAAGAAACCAUUUCAUAGUAUUAAAAGAUCAUAUGAACUUUUAGACCUAAUGCACUAUGUUGUGAAUUAAAUGAUAUAUUAACUAGAGGUGGUAAAAGAUAUUUUAUAACAUUUAUUGAUGACUGCUCUAGAUAUACCUAUUGUUAUUUGUUGAGACAUAAAGAUGAAUUUUUUUAAUGUUUUUAAGACUUAUAAGGCAGAAGUUAAAAACCAAUUAGGAAGAAAGAUUAAAAUACCAAGAAGUGAUAGAGGCGGAGAAUAUUUUCCAAAUGAAUUUAAUGCAUUUUAUGAAGAAAAUGGUAUAAUACAUCAAUGUUUUGCACCCCAUACACCUCAACAAAAUGGAUUAGCAGAAAGAAAAUAAGGGAACUUUUCAAGAGAUGAUUAACUCUACGUUAUUAAAUGCUAAAUUGCCAUUUAGUUUAUGGGGAGAAGUAAUUCUUGCUGCAUGUCAUAUCCUUAAUAGAAUUCCUUUAAAGAAAUCUAUGAUUUCUCCAUAUGAGAUAUGGAAAGGAAGGAAACCCAAUAUUGGAUACUCUAAAGUGUGGGGGUGUCUUGCAUAUUGUAAGAACACGGAUCCAAAGAGAACAAAAUUGGGUCCAAGAGCUAUUAAACGUGCAUUUGUUGGAUAUGCUAUUAAUAACAAGGCAUACAGACUCUUAAAUUUGGAGUCUAAUGUCAUAAUUGAAUCUAGAAAUGUGGAGUUCUUUGAGAAUUUAUUAACUUGUGAAAAACAAUCUCAAACUCCAGAUAAUGAAAAAUCUCAAGAGGAGAUAAUUCAUAAGGUUGUGCAACAACCAAAUGAACCUCGUAAAAGCCAAAGAGUAAAAAAAAAAAAAAGAGUUGGAAUCCAAUGAAAUUGAUUCUCAAUUAAUUUCCCAUUACUUGGUAGAAGGAAAUAAUGGGGGUUUAAUUAGAAAAAUACCCAUUGUUCUUCAAAUUGAAGAUGAUCCAAAAAGUUACAAAGAAGCAAUGGCUUCUAGAGAUUCUACUUUUGGAAAGAUGCAAUAAAUGAUGAGGUGGAUUCAAUUAUAUCAAUCCACACUUGGGAAAUUGUUGACUUACCACAUGGUUCUAAACCAAUAGGUGGUAAGUGGGUAUUUAGAAGAAAAUACCAUACAGAUGGUACCAUUCAAACUUUUAAGGCUAGACUAGUGGCCAAGGGAUUUAGACAAAAAGAAUGAAUUAAUUAUUUUGACAUAUAUGCACCUGUGGCUAGAAUAACUUCUAUCAGAAUACUAUUUGCUUUAGCUUCAAUCAAUAACCUUUAUACUCAUCAAAUGGACGUUAAAACUGCAUUCUUAAAUGGAAAUCUCAAUGAAGAGAUUUACAUGGAACAACCAGAAGGGUUUGUUCUGCCUAGAAAUGAAUAGAAGGUAUGCAAACUUGUCAAAUCAUUGUAUGGAUUAAAACAAGCACUAAAAUAAUGGCAUCAAAAGUUUGACUCUGCUAUUCUUUCUAAUGGUUUUGUUAACAACAAUGCUCAUAAGUGUUUAUAUGUUAAGAUUUGUAAUGAUUUUAUUGUUAUAAUUUGUCUUUAUGUUGAUGACAUGUUAAUUUUGAGCAACAAUAUGAAAUGUGUGUUAGAAACAAAGAGAUUUCUGCCUUUCACAUUUUAAAUGAAGGAUUUUGGACAAGUUGAUACUAUUUUGGGUAUAAAGGUAAAGCAAAAUAAAGAGGGAUUUGCUUUAUGUCAAUCUCAUUACACUGAGAAGGUGUUGAAGAAGUUUAGCCAUUUGAAUGUCAAAGAAGCUAACACUCCUUUUGAUCCAAGCAUCAAGCUUAUUUCAAAUUGUGGAAGAGCGGUGGCUCAAAUUGAGUAUGCAAGUGUUAUUGGAAGUCUUAUAUAUGUUGCGUAAUGUAUUAGACAUGAUAUCACAAUUGCAGCUAGUAAACUUAGUAGAUUUACUAGCAAUCCAAAUGUUGAACAUUGGAAGGCCAUUAGUGGAGUUCUGGGUUAUUUGAAGAAAACCAGAGAACUUGGUCUCCAAUAUUCAAAAUUCCCUACUAUUUUAGAAGGAUAUAUAGAUGCCAGCUGGAUAAGGAGUGUAGGAGAUAGCAUAUCCACUAUAGGUUGAGUAUUUACACUUGGAGUGGUGCAAUUUCUUAGGGAUCCAAGAAACAAACUUGCAUCACACACUCAACCAUGGAAUCUGAGUUUAUUGCUUUGGCAGCAACAUAUAAAGAAGCUGAGUGGAUAAGGGAUCUUCUUUCAGAAAUCCCAUUUACUUCAAAGAAUUUAUCUGCUAUAUGAACUUUGAAGUGGUGCGCCGCUUUACUUGAGUGUUAGAGUUUCCCUCAAGAAAGUUCAUGAAACAAGAUUAGCACAUGGCCAUUAAAAGUGCUAAGUGAGAAUAAUGUGGAAAAUAUGAACACAAAAGUAGUAGUGUGUAUGGUGUUACCGGUUUGGUCAUAUAGAAGUAGCUGGUUUAAAGCUUCAAGCUACCUGUAAUUUUGACUAAUCUUUGUGAUACUUAUACUAAGGUAAGGUUCAAAUCGAAAUAUACAUUUCCUUAUGCAUAAACUAUGUAAUAUUUCUAGCUGGUGUCUCCUUUAUUCAUUUUUUACCAAGUGGGGGAUUGUUGUAUUUUGGUCAAGUAAGAAUAAAAUUUAAUUAUGAAAAGUUAUGAUACUUGGUAGAGUUGUGGUCAAAUUUAAUUAUGAAAAAUCAUGAUGCUUGGUGAGGUUGUGGUCAAGUCUAAUUACGAAAAGUCACGAUGCUUGAUGGUAGGUAUUGUAAAAAUCACAAUGUUUGGUGGUGGGGUGUCGGUUUUAAAAGUCUAUAUAAGGAUAAAGGGGAUGACUUUAAAAAAAUAAUUCUAUUCUUUAUAAGUUUUGUCCUUAUUAAUUUCCUACAAUAUAAAAAUAAAAAUUUUAUCAGAUAUAAAGUAUUCAUAUUUUUUUAGUGAAUUCUUCACUUUUACUUAGUGCACAUUUACAUUAAAGACUUGUUAUAUCCUAAAAGUGACUUGUCAAUAAAUUCAUAAGUAAUCUCUAUCGAGAGAGAACAAUUAACACUUUAAGAAAAGCGUAUUCAAUACGUGUUUUAGAUUUUAAUCUACUACUAUUAUUAUUUUAUUUAUUAAACAAUAAACACAUCUGAUUUUUUUUUCUCAAUAAUAAAAUAAUGAUAAUAAUGAAAUAAGGACCACUCUAUAUUACAUUGAGUGGCCAUGAAAUAAUACUCCGAGCAUUGGUGAUGUGACUUGGAAUAAUACUCCAAGCAUUGGUGAUGUGACUUAAGCCUACCAUAAAAUGAUACAUAUGGCCUAUUAUUGACCUGUCACUACAUCUGUCUCCUCAAUGAUUAUGCAAAGUUAGAAGUUUGAAGCGUUUAGUCCGUGAUUGAUUGAGAUGUGGGCAAUUGCUUCACGUAACUUACUUACAGCCUGCUCAACCCAACGGAUUACGUUGAAUUUAUGAAAAAGUAGUAACCAGCUGGAUUGAUUAAAUUCAUGCACCGUAACUUACGCAAACUCUAAUUUAGUGAGACCUUGAGCUGUGUGAGCACUGAGCAUACAGUACCUGGUAGAAUUAAUCAAUUGUGGUCAAUUUUUAAACUUUGAUUCCUUGUCUUUUCUUGCAAAAAGUCAAUACGCACUCGUAAGCUGUACAUGCACACAAAUAAGCUAGCUGCCUUUGUGAACCACAUUUUAUUAAUUGGAGAAACGAAAUUGCGUAUGUACGCUCUUACAUCAGCACUAGAGAAGAGCUAGAAUUUCAACGGCUCGGUAGAAUGCCAUCAGUCAUCCUACGCGAAAAAUGGGGUUCUCAAAUCUCAAAUCUCAAAUCUCAACCCCAUUAGUCUUUUCUGACUUCAAGAAAAUUGCCAUGGAUACAGAAGCAAGCCAGCUUCACUUUGUUCUGUUUCCUUUCAUGUCCUAGGGGCACAUGAUACCCGUGAUAAGCAGUAAUUGUUAAUUUUCAUUUAAUCGCAAUAUUUUGUCAAACAAACUUGAAACAAAAAUCCAAAUUAAAAUUUUUUGAAAUCAAGGUAAGGAUAACAAUAUGAAAUUAAAGGAACAAUACUUAUAUCACUUCUGAGGAUGGCUGUUGCAUGAUAUCUUGGAUAAACAAUUUGAUAUGGUUAUAGGAAGAUCCCCCUUCUUCUAAAGCUCUCUGUGCCAACUCUCCAAACUCUUUGGCUCUUCUUCUUCUUGCAUCUCUUUCUUCUCCAUCAUCCAUUAGUAUGUUUAUAGCCGUUUCGACAUCUUCCUUCUUCACCAACACUCCAAUCUUCUCUUCUUCCCCAAACUUCAUUGGAACUUCCACUCCAACACCCACACCAAUCCUUAAAACUUUCACAAUCAACUUCUCGUUACAAAAUUGGUCUGCAAAAAGUGGCCAGGUAAGCAUUUGAACCCCGGCUGAUAUCCCUUCCAGAGAUGAAUUCCAGCCACAAUGUGUUAAGAAUCCUCCUACUGCAGGGUGUGACAAUAUCAUUACUUGUGGAGCCCAACCUCGGAUCAAAAGGCCUGUCCCUUUAAUCCUUUCUUCAAAAUUUUCUUCUACAAGCCAUUUCUCUAGUUCUUCUAAUUUACUUCCUACCCUUGUAACCCAAAUAAAUGGUUUCUUAGAUGCUUCCAGGCCUAAACCAAGCUCAAUCAGUUGUGAAGAUUUUAGAUUGCAAAUACUUCCCAGACAAACAUACACUACCGAGCUUGGUUGUUGCGAAUCAAGCCAUGUUAAGCAUUCGGGAACAUCAAUUGCUGCUUUGUUACCUCUCUCAACCUUGUCUAUGCUUUCUUUGUUGCACAGAGAAACAGGCCCGAUGCACCAAACUUUUCCUUGUUUGCCUUUCUUGCAGCCUUCAACAAAUGCCGACUCUAUCUCUUCGAAGGUAUUUAUAAUAGCCCCGUAUGUUUUCUUUUCAGCAGCCCAAAUUUUCUCUCGAAGCUCUUUCAUGUCAUCACGCUUAUGGGUGGGUAUUGGUAUCUGAACUCUUGUAAAUCCGAUGUGAUCAGGCAAACCAGGUAUCUUAAAGUAUUCUGAAUCAGAUGAAACAUUCUCGUGAACCUUUGAAUCGCGCAAUAGGUUCAUGCACAAGAGACAGAAGCAAGAAAAUCCAUGGAAAAUAAUCCUUGGAACAUUGAACUUGGCAGCAGUAUCGACCGUCCAAGGAUGGCCCAUGUCAGAGAUUAUGCAGCAGGGCUUAGGAGUUUGCUCUUUGAACAAAUUUUCA